UAUAAUUUGGCUCAAUUCAAAAUUGACUUUCUCUCUCCCUCUCUGUUUCCUCUGUUCAUCUCCCAAAACACAAAUUUACAUCCUCUCUCUCUCUCUCUCAUAGAUUGAAACCCAAGAAGUAUGGCUGUGGAACAUUGGAGCGAAGAAAGCCGCAACCUUCACUGCCUGUGAGGUAUCAUUCGGUGAAACCGAUCUGUCGAUUGGUUUUGGUAGUGAGGAUUUUAGAGGAGAGAUGGGCUUCCGGUUCUUUGCCGAACUUCUGAGAGAGUCUGAGACAGCACCCAUGCCCACUUUUAUCUUAACAAUGAUUGCCACAAUGAGACGAAGAUUUCUAGAAGCUGAAAAAUGUGAAGUAUGAAAUUGGACUUAUUGGUACAAUUGCUGUUCAAAUAGCUUUCUUUGAAGAUUGAAAACAUGAGUUCAAUCUGAAAUAGGUUGAUGGGUAUCAUUGAAAUAGAACCCAUAUGUUGUGAAUUUUUAACACUGAAAUGGAAUCCGCAUGUUGUGAAUUUGCUCAAAAUGUGUGUUGCUAUUCUUAGCCUCAAUUAUGGAAAUGGUGGUGCUGGUGUACCAAGUUCAAGAGAGUAGGAGAGGUGUUUGCUGCUUUGUCUGAGAGAGUGGGCCAAUGUGCCACUGAAGAAAUUCAGGAUUUGUAGUGACAGUGGCUGCACCAUUUGAAGAUUGACUAGUGAUAGAUUGUGGGGGUGCAGGUUUAGUUCCAUCAAGAAAGCCAAAGAGAUGAAGACCUUUAAUGUAAAGAACAAUCUGAGCUUUCCAAAGAAGAUAGUUGUCCCGGGUUAAUUUGAUUGUAGUAUUGUGGUGAAGGUUGAUGAGGUUGUGAGAGGAUAGAUUGGUUGUGGCAAUGGUGUUGGCAGAGGCAGAGGAAGAAGAGCUGGCCAUAGGGAUUGACAUUAGUCACAAAAAGCUCUGAUACCAUGUGAAGUCAAAUAGCAAAUUGAUAUUGUGCUGCCUUACCAAAUACGAUGAAGGCUCUUUGUAUAUAUAAACUAAUCAUUUACAGAGUUUGUGUUUUGACAUAUGUACAUGAAGAGUUUGAAUUCAAAUAUACAAAAACUAAAAUGUUAUCUAUGAGCUGAGUUGUUGUAAUAUUGGCUGUUAUCCUCUAACUGUGUAAUCUUACUAUUUGAACUUUGAAUGGCGAGGUAAUCUUGUCCUUAACAGGCUAGAACAAAGUCUACAGGUUUUUGGGCUGCUCUGCAUUGUUUGAUGGAGUAGAAAUGUUGGUUUCAGACAUUUAGAUGUGGAAUAUGAAGAUGCUGGAUUAGUGAAUGCUUCGCAGAUGGGGAAAAUUACUCCGCUGAGGCAGGAUUAGUUUAGGAUGAUAUUUCCUUUCAUGUAUUGUGAAAAACUUGUAACUAUGUAACUCAUGCGCUUAUAAAAUUUUCUUAUCCAAAGGAGGAGCUUGAGUAGGGAAUUAGAGGAAUGAUCUUUCUUUUAAUUACCCAUUGUACAAAUUGUAUUUCUCAAUAAAACAAAUCUACUGUUUGCAAUAGAAAACAAAAAUUUAUAU